UAGAGUCUACAUUGUUCCCAGCAAU
rnacentral:piRNA from 1 species